rnacentral:rRNA from 1 species
CAAAGGAAUUGACGGACUCCUACGGGAGGCAGCAGUGGGGAAUAUUGGACAAUGGGGGCAACCCUGAUCCAGCAAUGCCGCGUGAGUGAUGAAGGCCCUAGGGUUGUAAAGCUCUUUCGACGGGGACGAUGAUGACGGUACCCGUAUAAGAAGCCCCGGCUAACUCUGUGCCAGCAGCCGCGGUAAUACGUAGGGUGCAAGCGUUAAUCGGAAUUAUUGGGCGUAAAGGGCGCGUAGGCGGCGACCCAAGUCAGAUGUGAAAGUCCUGGGCUUAACCUGGGGACUGCAUUUGAUACUGGGUUGCUUGAAUUCGGGAGAGGAUAGCGGAAUUCCCAGUGUAGAGGUGAAAUUCGUAGAUAUUGGGAAGAACACCGGUGGCGAAGGCGGCUAUCUGGACCACAACUGACGCUGAGGCGCGAAAGCUAGGGGAGCAAACAGGAUUAGAUACCCUGGUAGUCCUAGCCCUAAACGAUGAAUGCUUGGUGUGACAGGUACCCAAUCCUGUCGUGCCGGAGCUAACGCAUUAAGCAUUCCGCCUGGGGAGUACGGUCGCAAGGCUGAAACUUAAAGGAAUUGACG